GACGAACGUUGGCGGCGUGCUUAAUACAUGCAAGUCCACUGAAGCAGUGGUAGCAAUAUCGCUGUGGAGGUGGCGCACGGGUGAGUAACACGUAGGUAAUCUGCCUUCAGGUCUGGCAUAACUCCGGGAAACCGGGGCUAAUAGCAGAUGAUGCAGCGGCUCGACAUCGAGACAGUUGUUAAAGCUAUGGCGCCUGAAGAUGGGCCUGCGUCUGAUUAGCUAGUUGGCGGGGUAACGGCCCACCAAGGCAACGAUCAGUAGCUGGUCUGAGAGGAUGAUCAGCCACACUGGAACUGAGACACGGUCCAGACUCCUACGGGAGGCAGCAGUAAGGAAUAUUGCUCAAUGGGAGAAAUCCUGAAGCAGCAACGCCGCGUGAGGGACGAAGGGCUUUUGCUUGCAAACCUCUGUAGUGAGAGAAAAAAAUCCCAAUCUUUGGGACAUGAUGGUAUCUCAAAAGUAAGCCCCGGCUAACUACGUG
rnacentral:rRNA from 1 species